rnacentral:rRNA from 1 species
AUUGAACGCUGGCGGAAUGCUUUACACAUGCAAGUCGAACGGUAGAGGGGGCAACCCCUUGAGAGUGGCGAACGGGUGAGUAAUAUAUCGGAACGUGCCCAGUCGUGGGGAUAACGUAGCGAAAGUUACGCUAAUACCGCAUACGAUCUACGGAUGAAAGCGGGGGACUCGCAAGAGCCUCGCGCGAUUGGAGCGGCCGAUAUCAGAUUAGGUAGUUGGUGGGGUAAAGGCUCACCAAGCCAACGAUCUGUAGCUGGUCUGAGAGGACGACCAGCCACACUGGAACUGAGACACGGUCCAGACUCCUACGGGAGGCAGCAGUGGGGAAUAUUGGACAAUGGGCGAAAGCCUGAUCCAGCAAUGCCGCGUGAGUGAUGAAGGCCU